rnacentral:rRNA from 1 species
GAUGAACGCUGGCGGCGUGCUUAACACAUGCAAGUCGAACGGAAAGGCCCAAGCUUGCUUGGGUACUCGAGUGGCGAACGGGUGAGUAACACGUGGGUGAUCUGCCCUGCACUUCGGGAUAAGCCUGGGAAACUGGGUCUAAUACCGGAUAGGACCACGUCUUGGAUGUUGUGGUGGAAAGGUUUUUCGGUGUGGGAUGAGCUCGCGGCCUAUCAGCUUGUUGGUGGGGUAAUGGCCUACCAAGGCGUCGACGGGUAGCCGGCCUGAGAGGGUGUACGGCGACAUUGGGACUGAGAUACGGCCCAGACUCCUACGGGAGGCAGCAGUGGGGAAUAUUGCACAAUGGGCGCAAGCCUGAUGCAGCGACGCCGCGUGGGGGAUGACGGCCUUCGGGUUGUAAACUCCUUUCGCUAGGGACGAAGCGUUUUUGUGACGGUACCUGGAGAAGAAGCACCGGCUAACUACGUG